UACGGGGGGGGCUAGCGUUGUUCGGAAUUACUGGGCGUAAAGGGCGCGUAGGCGGCCUGCUAAGUCGGAUGUGAAAUCCCCCGGCUCAACCGGGGAACUGCAUCCGAUACUGGCGGGCUCGAAUCCGGGAGAGGGAUGUGGAAUUCCAGGUGUAGCGGUGAAAUGCGUAGAUAUCUGGAGGAACACCGGUGGCGAAGGCGGCAUCCUGGACCGGUAUUGACGCUGAGGCGCGAAAGCCAGGGGAGCAAACGGGAUUAGAAACCCGGUAGUCC
rnacentral:rRNA from 1 species